rnacentral:rRNA from 1 species
UAGUCCACGCCGUAAACUAUGAUCACUCGAUAUUGGCUUCGGUCAGUGUCCUAGCGAAAGUGUUAAGUAAUCCACCUGGGAAGUACGGUCGCAAGAUUGAAACUCAAAGGAAUUGACGGGGGCCCGCACAAGCGGUGGAGCAUGUGGUUUAAUUCGAUGAUACGCGAGGAACCUUACCAGGGCUUAAAUGGAGAUUGACAGGACUGGAAACAGUUUUUUCUUCGGACAAUUUUCAAGGUGCUGCAUGGUUGUCGUCAGCUCGUGCUGUGAAGUGUCGGGUUAAGUCCCAUAACGAGCGCAACCCCUAUCUUUAGUUGCCAGCGAGUAAUGUCGGGGACUCUAGAGAAACUGCCCGUGCAAACGGUGAGGAAGGUGGGGAUGACGUCAAAUCAUCACGGCCCUUACGUCCUGGGCUACACACGUGCUACAAUGGCCGGUACAGAGGGCAGCUAUCCCGCGAGGGAAUGCGAAUCUCAAAAGCCGGUCUCAGUUCGGAUCGGAGUCUGCAACUCGAC